rnacentral:rRNA from 1 species
GCCUACGGCCAUGCCACCCUGAACAAGCCCGAUCCCAUGUGACUUUGGAAGCUUAGCAGGGUCGGUCCUGGUUAGUGCUUAGAUCGGAGACCACCUAGGAAGACCAGGUGCUGUAGGUA